CGGGUGAGUAAUGCUUGGGAAUAUGCCUUAUGGUGGGGGACAACAGUUGGAAACGACUGCUAAUACCGCAUAACGUCUACGGACCAAAGGGGGGGAUCUUCGGACCUCUCGCCAUUUGAUUAGCCCAAGUGAGAUUAGCUUGUUGGUGAGGUAAUGGCUCACCAAGGCGACGAUCUCUAGCUGGUUUGAGAGGAUGAUCAGCCACACUGGGACUGAGACACGGCCCAG
rnacentral:rRNA from 1 species